rnacentral:lncRNA from 1 species
CGCGUAUUUGGAUUGACUUCGAUUACACAUAUUUAACUAUAAAAUCCACGUCAAAUCUUCAAAAAUGAUGCAAAACUAGCUACUUCAAGAUGCUUGCUUCAAAGCAACACGCUCUCCUCUUCCUCCAAACGCGUAACCAAACAUGCUGUUAAAAAAUUUUCCUGCAUAUCUCCAACAAUCAAACAACAUAGUUAUACCUUGGGGUGGAGUAGUACUUGAUUUUGUUGGUUCCUGAGUAGGUCUUGGUAUGACAAGGCCAGGCCAUGAGCGACACAUACAAUGAUUUCCCUCCUCUAUGCUAUUAUAAACAUUGCUCAAGUGAUUGCCACAUCCACCCCAGGUAUAUUUCCCACACCUCCGACACAACACCUUAAAACACAUGAUUAUGCUUUUGGAACCCUGAAAAUCGAGUUAUUUUUAUAUUUUCUAAUGAGCUAUGCCUCACAUACAAAUU